UGUCUGUCUGUCUGUCUGUCUGUCUCUGUCUGUCUGUCUGUUUCUGUCUGUCUGUCUCUGUACCAGUAAUGACCCUACAGGUAAACACUCUCCCCUUGUACAGGUCAAGCGCCAGCAAGUGUAAUCGCCAGUGUGAUCGUUAGCCUGACGUCGGCUUCGUCAGGGCUGGCGUCUGUGAUGAGCGAUAAGGCGUGGGAGAGGUUUGCGGCGGCGCUGGCGAUCAUUCUUACUCUUGGCUCAAGAGUCCUCGUCUGCAGCGGAAUCGGAACUAUACACCCAGCAUUAUGGUUCACACCUGUAGGCUCAGCAACUCUUUUAGGCCUACUUACCAAAAUAUCUGAAUCUAAAGAACCUACCUAUAAAGCAAUUAUAACCAAGACUCAUAAAUAUAUGUUUGAAGCCUUUAUUAUGGCCGCUGUUUGCCCGCCUUUUAAUACUCUAGGUUUAUUUACAUCAGUACCUUAUGUGUUAGCUGGGGUUUGUUUUCUCAUGCUUAAUCCAUCAGCGUUCGUGAAUAUAUCCGUAUUUAUUCUCUCCGUUCUGGGGCAAAUAAUCUGGCUUGCUGUCGGAUUCUUUGUAAUUAAUUGAUUCCUUUAUAUAGUAGUAUAUUUAACGGAAUGUAUUGAGAUAAUUCCGCUAUAUGGAGGGUAAAAUCCGUUAUAAUAGAUGUAAUUAUUAAAUAGAAUUAAGAGAAAUUAUGUAAUUAUGUGGAAUAAAUUAUUUAAAUCAA